CCAUCAUCAGUAGGAUUUAACUUACUUUGUUAUAUAAGUAAAGUAAAUUCAACCUGAAUCCACAGUAUGAUGAUUGGAGUCUUCGGACGAAGAAAAUACAUCCGUUCCGUUUUCAGUGAUUAUUGAGUAGCUAUCCCGGUCGUUGAUUGUUUUUCAUCCUUCAAGGGUGGGAUAGUUUCUCGUACAUUU